rnacentral:snoRNA from 1 species
AUCCCAUGAUGAGGGCAUUCUGAUAUGUAAUCUUUGAAGCGUUCCCAUGCCUUAGGGAUAGAUUAUUUAUAUUGUUGCUAAAAGGUUGAGAUCUUUGCAUGUAAGACA